rnacentral:rRNA from 1 species
GACGAACGCUGGCGGCGUGCCUAAUACAUGCAAGUAGAACGCUGAAGGAGGAGCUUGCUUCUCUGGAUGAGUUGCGAACGGGUGAGUAACGCGUAGGUAACCUGCCUGGUAGCGGGGGAUAACUAUUGGAAACGAUAGCUAAUACCGCAUAAGAGUAGAUGUUGCAUGACAUUUACUUAAAAGGUGCAAUUGCAUCACUACCAGAUGGACCUGCGUUGUAUUAGCUAGUUGGUGAGCUAACGGCUCACCAAGGCAACGAUACAUAGCCGACCUGAGAGGGUGAUCGGCCACACUGGGACUGAGACACGGCCCAGACUCCUACGGGAGGCAGCAGUAGGGAAUCUUCGGCAAUGGACGGAAGUCUGACCGAGCAACGCCGCGUGAGUGAAGAAGGUUUUCGGAUCGUAAAGCUCUGUUGUAAGAGAAGAACGAGUGUGAGAGUGGAAAGUUCACACUGUGACGGUAUCUUACCAGAAAGGGACGGCUAACUACGU